rnacentral:rRNA from 1 species
UACGAAGGGGGCUAGCGUUGCUCGGAAUUACUGGGCGUAAAGGGCGCGUAGGCGGAUGUCUAAGUCAGCGGUGAAAGCCCAGGGCUCAACCUUGGAACUGCCAUUGAUACUGGACAUCUUGAGUACGGGAGAGGUGAGUGGAACACCGAGUGUAGAGGUGAAAUUCGUAGAUAUUCGGUAGAACACCAGUGGCGAAGGCGACUCACUGGCCCGUUACUGACGCUGAGGCGCGAAAGCGUGGGGAGCAAAC